rnacentral:tRNA from 7 species
AAUAAAGUGCCUGAAAAAAAGGAUUAUUCUGAUAGGAUAAAUUAUGUAGAAUUCUACCUUUAUUA